rnacentral:misc_RNA from 1 species
UCCGAGUUGACCCCGGCAGUCCCCCACGAGUCCCCGGCAUAACCCGCUGGCAACAUGGGGCAAGGGUUGCGCUCGUUGCGGGACUUAACCCAACAUCUCACGACACGAGCUGACGACAGCCAUGCACCACCUGUGCACCUGCCCCGAAGGGCUGCCGUAUUUCUACGACAUUCAGGUGCAUGUCAAGCCCUGGUAAGGUUCUUCGCGUUGCGUCGAAUUGAACCACAUGCUCCGCUGCUUGUGCGGGCCCCCGUCAAUUCCUUCGAGUUUUAGCCUUGCGGCCGUACUCCCCAGGCGGGGUGCUUAAUGCGUUAGCUUCGGCACGGAUGGGGUUGAUAUCCACCCACACCUAGCACCCAACGUUUACGGCUAGGACUAC